AUUCCAGCUGAUCCUGCUGGCGGAUACUGCUAUUGAAGUCCGAUUAAGCCAUGCAAGUCUAAGAGUCCAGCUAUGGGGGCUCUGGCGUACUGCUCAGUAACACGUAGCUAAUCUACCCUCAAGAAGAGCAAAACCCGGGAAACUGGGCAUAAUGCUCUAUAAGCAGAGGAUACUGGAAUGUUCCUUUGCUUAAAUGAAGUGCACCAUGCAAGCACUUUGCUUGAGGAUGAGGCUGCGGCGGAUUAGGCUGUUGGCGGGGUAACUGCCCACCAAACCUUUGAUCCGUACGGGCCUUGAGAGAGGGAGCCCGGAGAAGGGUACUGAGAUAAGGACCCUAGCCCUACGGGGUGCAGCAGGCGCGAAACCUCUGCAAUGCGCGAAAGCGUGACAGGGGGACUUCGAGUGCUAGCUUGCUAGCUUUUGCCAAGCCUAAAAAGCUUGGCGAAUAAGUGCUGGGUAAGAUGCGUGCCAGCCGCCGCGGUAAUACGUACAGCACAAGUGGUAUCCCCUUAUAUUGGGCCUAAAGCGUGUGUAGCCGGUUCUAAUAGUCUUUGGUGAAAUCAAGGGGCUUAACCCAUUGGCUUGCCAAAGAUACUUUAAAACUCGAGGUUGGUAGACGUGAAGGGAAUUUCUGGGGUAGCAGUGAAAUGUUGUGAUCCCAGAAGGACCACCAGUAGCGAAGGCGCUUCACGAGGACAAGCCUGACGGUGAGACACGAAAGCUGAGGGAGCGACCCGGAUUAGAUACCCGGUUAGUCUCAGCCGUAAACGAUGUGGACUAGGUGUCCUAGUACUCAUGUAGUACGGGGGUGCCGAAGCGAAGGCGCUAAGUCCACCGCCUGGGAAGUAUACUCGCAAGGGUGAAACUUAAUGGAAUUGGCGGGGGCGCACUACAAGGGGUGGAUGCUGCGGUUUAAUUGGAUAAAACGCCAGACAACUCACCAGGGGCGACAGUAGAAUGAUGGACAGUCUAAAGGGCUUUCCUGACACGCUGAGAGGUGUUGUAUGGUCAUCGUCAGCUCGUACUAUGAAGCGUCCUGUCAACUCAGGCAACGGGUCUCCUGGGCUACACGCGGCAUACAAUGGUUGAGACAAUGAGUUCCUAGCCCGAAAGGGUACGGUAAUCCCCAAAACUCAACCACAGUUCGGAUCGAGGGUUGUAACCCACCCUCGUGAAGUUGGAAUCCCCAGUAAUCGGAAGUCAUUAUCUUCCGGUGAAUAAGUCCCUGCGCCUUGCACACACCGCCCAUCAAGCCAGCCGAGUAGAGUUCGGAUGAGCCUCAUUUCAUUGGAGUGAUGCGAUUCUGAGUUUUGCGAGGCGGGCUAAGUUGUAACAAGGUGUCCGUAGGGGAACCUGCGGACGGAUCACCUCC
rnacentral:rRNA from 1 species